GGUUAAGCGACUAAGCGUACACGGUGGAUGCCCAGGCAGUCAGAGGCGAUGAAGGACGUGCUAAUCUGCGUAAAGCGACGGUAAGGUGAUAUGAACCGCUACAGCCGUCGAUGUCCGAAUGGGGAAACCCGGUGCACUCUGUGCAUCAUUGCAGCAUGAAUACAUAGUGCUGCAAGGCGAACCGGGGGAACUGAAACAUCUAAGUACCCCGAGGAAAAGAAAUCAACCGAGAUUCCCCCAGUAGCGGCGAGCGAACGGGGAGCAGCCCAGAGCCUGAAUCAGUUUGUGUGUUAGUGGAAGCGUCUGGAAAGUCGCAGGGUACAGGGUGAUACUCCCGUACACAAAAGCACACAUGCUGUGAGCUCGAUGAGUAAGGCGGGACACGUGGUAUCCUGUCUGAAUAUGGGGGGACCAUCCUCCAAGGCUAAAUACUCCUGACUGA
rnacentral:rRNA from 1 species